UGUGGAUAUAGCUCAGUUUGUAGAGUGUUUGCCUCACAUGCACAAGGCCCUGGGUUCAAUCCCCCGCACAUAA
rnacentral:tRNA from 1 species